CAAUAGCGUAUAUUAAAGUUGUUGCGGUUAAAAGCUCGUAGUUGGAUUUCUGCUGAGGACGACCGGUCCGCCUCUGGUGAGUAUCUGGCUUGGCCUUGGCAUCUUCUUGGAGAACGUAGCUGCACUUGACUGUGUGGUGCGGUAUCCAGGACUUUUACUUUUGAGGAAAUUAGAGUGUUUCAAGCAGGCACACGCCUUGAAUACAUUAGCAUGGAAUAAUAAUCUAGGACUUCGGUUUUAUUUUGUGGUUUCUAAAAAUUGAAGUAAAUGAUUUGAUAGGGGAUAGUUUGGGGUGGGCUAGUAUUGGCCGGCCAGAGGUGAAAUUCUUGGAUUCGGUCAAGACUAACUUAUGC
rnacentral:rRNA from 1 species